CACUGCUGGCUCUAUUUCUUACAACUCACCCCCAAUUUCACCUUCGAAUCCUUUCACUGGUAAGAGUUCACUCAUCCUCUUCAUGGUGGCGCUUCUUGCUCCGCUUCUCAGAUCGCUUUGUACCCCUUCCAACCCGUGAGUCAUCAGAGCCACUCAAGUCAGAAUCAGAUGGAGAUGCUGGCUUCCUGCUCUUUCGCCUGUGCCUUCUACCAGAGUCAUCAGAAGCAUCUGAUUCAGAAUCAUCAGAAUAUCUAUGACUUCUCCUCCUCCUCUUCUCCUUCCUGCUCUUCCUCUUGUGGCGCCGCCUAUCUUCCUCCUCUGAAGAAGACUCAU
rnacentral:misc_RNA from 1 species